rnacentral:rRNA from 1 species
UGUAGUCAUAUGCUUGUCUCAAAGAUUAAGCCAUGCAUGUCUAAGAAUAAGCCCUAGAACGGCGAAUCUGCGAAUGGCUCAUUAAAUCAGUUAUUGUUUAUUUGAUGGUACCUUACUACUUGGAUAACCGUAGUAAUUCUAGAGCUAAUACAUGCGUCAAGCCCCGACUUCGGAAGGGGUGCAUUUAUUAAAUUCAAACCAUCGGCCUCUGUCAAAGGAGGUCCAUGAUGGUGAGUCAUAAUAACUGAGCGAAUCGAAUAGCCUUGUGCUGUCGAUGCUUCAUUCAAAUUUCUGCCCUAUCAGCUGAUCUUGGCCUACCAUGGCUACAACGGGUAACGGGGAAUGACG